rnacentral:rRNA from 1 species
UACGAAGGGAGCUAGCGUUACUCGGAAUUAUUGGGCGUAAAGCGUGCGUAGGCGGCUUUGUAAGUCGGAAGUGAAAGCCUGAGGCUCAACCUCAGAAUUGCUUUCGAAACUACAUAGCUAGAGUAUCAGAGGGGAUAGCGGAAUUCCUAGUGUAGAAGUGAAAUUCGUAGAUAUUAGGAGGAACACCGGUGGCGAAGGCGGCUAUCUGGCUGAAUACUGACGCUGUUGCACGAAAGCGUGGGGAGCAAACAGG